GAGACUGGGUGCUUCGGGGUAGAUCUCCACCCUUGAAUAACAUACCUUUGUUGCUUUGGCAGGACGCACUCGUGCCAGGGGCUUCGGCUCUUGAGUGCCUGCCAGAGGACCACAACUCUUGUCUUUAGUGAUGUCUGAGUACUAUAUAAUAGUUAAAACUUUCAACAACGGAUCUCUUGGUUCU
rnacentral:misc_RNA from 1 species